GAAGCAAAGCAAGCCUCUCAUAAAUCAGCUGAGGAGGCAUGCUUUGUUGCUGGCUUGAAGUGUGGCUGAUUUUAAAUAAGGAUUGCCUCCUGUAUCAUUUUCUCCUAAAGACUACUGUUAUUGAAACAGUGCCAAGGCAUCUAUACCACAAUUAAGGGCCUGCCAGUGUUUGUAUUAUACGCUUCUCUUUUCAAAGGUUUAUAACUUUUUCUCUAAAACUUCCUCUGGGCUAAAUGUUACUUAGAAGACAAAAUAGUAUUCAUUGGACACAAUAUUUCUAAUACAUUUGGAAACAUCCCAUUUGGUUCCAGUAACACAGGGCAUAUAUCCUCUUUUCAAGUUUUCCCCAUUGUAGGUUUGCAGGUUUUUGGCUGCCUUCUGUAGGUUUUUAAAACCAUAUAAACAAGUUUGGUCUAUUAAAGAAAUGUGCCAGGUCAGUGAGUCACAAUUAAGUCAGCCACAA